UACAGAGGUGGCAAGCGUUGUUCGGAAUUACUGGGCGUAAAGGGCGCGUAGGCGGUUCGUUAAGUCCUGUGUGAAAUCCCCCGGCUCAACUGGGGAACUGAACAGGAAACUAGCGGGCUUGAGUUCGGGAGAGGGAAGCGGAAUUCCGGGUGUAGCGGUGAAAUGCGUAGAUAUCCGGAGGAACACCGGUGGCGAAGGCGGCUUCCUGGACCGACACUGACGCUGAGGCGCGAAAGCUAGGGGAGCAAUCGGG
rnacentral:rRNA from 1 species